rnacentral:lncRNA from 1 species
UUGCAAUUUUCCUUCAGAGAAGUUCUUCAGAGAAGAACUGCAGCAUUUUUUUUGCAGGAAUGUUUAAAAUAAGCUGUUUUGAAGCUUCUACAAAGCAGAAUGCCAUCCAACUGAAGCUUCUUCUCUUUGGAAGAUCUCCUAAAUACAUAUUUUGCAACCACGUGUGGCUCUUUGAGCAUAAGAAGAUGCUCCUAACCAUUUCAAAAUACUAGUCUUCUGGAUCAAGGAACUUUUCAACUUGCAAAAAGGAAGGACACACAAGAGGCCUUGCCCUCUUCUUAUUUCUUAUUCCUUAGUUAUUUUUUAAUUAAGGAUGUAAAGGUUUCUGUUUCCUUUCUACUUCUGGAAUUUUCUUAUUGAACAUAAAUGUUGCUGAAUCCAGGGGAAGAAGUAAUGUCUGUUAUGAGACCUUGAAUUGCAAAAGAACAGACAAACUUUCAGGUACUUUUUUCAUGCUUCUUAUUAUCUACUGAAGUAUAAACACCAGUUUUCAAAGUUAAAUUCAGAUAAAGAACUGUUUAAACUUGAUUAUACUCUUCAUUACAGUGCAGGAGACAGAAGAAGUGAUUCUGCUACACAGCAAUUUUAGGAUCAAUAAUUAUAUUGGUUCUGUGCCAUUUUAUAAUUUUUGAUAUUCCUAAACCUUCCUCAGUUUUUGUGAGAAAACACACAAUUCCCCUCUCUAAUAGGAACUAAUGAAUUUGCAAGUUUCUACUUCUUAGCAUUAUUUGCCUCCCUCAGUUGCAGGCACAAUCUUCUUUUAUGGUGUAGUUUGUUAACUUGCAAAAGUUAAGCUUGAAUCACUAGUUUCAAGUUAUGUUUUACUGUGAGGAUCGAAGCUUCAGCCUGCAUGUCCUGAAAGCUGGUCUGUUUUUUUUUUUUUUUUUUUGUUUUUUUUUUUUUUGUUUUUUUUUAACACUAUAGCAUUAGUCCCAUUAAAGAUACUAUCUCUGCCUGUAAAUCCACUCCUACUUACAUCUUGCAGUGAUCACGCCUAUAUUUACUAGGCAGGUGUCAUAUAUUUAAUCAAGAUCUUACCCUUUCAUGAUUUUCCUGUUGAAAGGAAACGAAGAUAAAUGAGUUCUGAGAAUUUCACUUUUCUGUCAUUUGCACAGGGCUCCUUUCUGAGUGUUGCCAUAGAACUUCAUAUACUUUGCUCUCAGGGAAAAACAUGGUAGGUGCUUGCUAUAAAUUUCUAUUCUAGAGUAAAAAAAAAAAAAAAAAAAAAAAAAAAAGGAAGAAAACAGAUGUCCAACACUUUUUUUUUUAUAUAAGAAAAUAAGUAGUCAAAGCGCAAUUGCUCUCAUUCUGUUCUUACCAAUGAGGAAGCUGAUAGUGAAGCUACAAUUUGAGUGCAGUAGUUCUAUCUUCCAUUCUACCAGUCUUGCAAGGUGAAUGCUUCUAUGUUACUUGUCACACAGCUCCCUGUUUUACCCACAGAUUUUAAAAUAUUCAGUAAAAGGCCCUUUUCUACAUAGUAGUCUUGUUCAUGCUAAAGCACCAUCUAAAGUCUUGUGCCUCGCUUGACCUGCAUAGGCCAACACCAUCCAUGUUAGACUACGCUUCUUGGCUGAAAUUAGUCUGCAAUGGAACUGGGAGCCUUCUGCUUACAGGUCCUCAUGGCUAAAGCUAAUUUCUAACUCAUUGAACUCUCUGGAAACUGUUCCAGGAUUUCACCUGAGAAGUACUUCUAGAUUUAUGGUUCUUUCAGUAGAACAUGCAGUACUGAAAGCAGCCUUUGCAUGAGUUUUCUAAAAAAGUUGCUCCUCAUUUUGGAUAACACAAAAGAAGUAGAGAGAUAGAUAAAACAAACUAAAACCUAAGGGUAUUUCUAGACCGUACUUUCCUUCCCAGCAU